CCUGGUGGCUCAGCAGUAAAGAAUCUGCCUGCAAUGCAGGAGACCCGGGUUCGAUUCCUGGGUCAGGA
rnacentral:tRNA from 1 species